CGAUAGCGUAUAUUUAAGUUGCUGCAGUUAAAAAGCUCGUAGUUGGAUUUCGGGUGGGAAUGGCCGGUCCGCCGUUUCGGUGUGCACUUGCUACGCCCACCUUGCUGCCGGGGACGUGCUCUUGAGUUCACGCUCGGGACACGGAGUCGGCGAGGUUACUUUGAGUAAAUUAGAGUGUUCAAAGCAGGCCUACGCUCUGAAUACAUUAGCAUGGAAUAACACCAUAGGACUCCUGUCCUAUUUCGUUGGUCUCGGGACGGGAGUAAUGAUUAAGAGGAACAGUUGGGGGCAUUCGUAUUUCAUUGUCAGAGGUGAAAUUCUUGGAUUUAUGAAAGACGAACUUCUGCGAAAGCAUUUGCCAAGGAUGUUUUCAUUGA
rnacentral:rRNA from 1 species